rnacentral:lncRNA from 1 species
CAUUCAUUUACCUCCUCCUUAAAAAAUCCCAGUGCUGAGGACUCUGCACCUUUCUUAUGCAAUCUAUUCCUCCACUUCUACUUCCUUCUCAUCAAAAAAUGUUCUCCUGAAGUCUAACCUCUAUGCUUGAACAGAAGAUGAAUUUGAGUUAAGUGCAGUUUCCUCAGCCCAUUUUCAAUCUCACUUAAAUCCAACAAAUGUAAGUCAACUGGCGUCCCCCCAUACUGCUCCUUCUCCUUCAUAAUAUUGUCAAAUUCAUUUGCUUGUUUCAGUACCUGAGGAGCAAGACAACAACAGGGGAGCCAGUGAAAAUGUCAGGAGCCCAUCUCUGUAUGUAUGAACCUGUAACAGAAAUCAUGUUGAGAUAAGGCAGGCUUCAGGCUGAGACAUGAGUGAUCCAGUCUUGCACACAGUGUUGAUUUUUUCAAGCACUCUCCCAGAAUUGGGAAAUAGCCAUAUUACCUCAUCACCAUAUCUGAAAUACAACAGCAGAAAAGUUCAGUGGAAGACUGUUUCCCAGAAGGAUUUGAUAGAUUGGCACAUUGCCUGGGGUCAGUAAUAAUGGAACAAAUUUAUCAUGGUGCAGUCCCUCCCUGACUAGAACAGUUAGAUUCGGUUUUCUGUGUUUAUAUACACUGACCACCAUGUGCUUCCAGCCUCCAUAUAUUCUAAAAUAAAUUAAGAAAAAAAAUGACCA